GCUGGGCGUGGUGGCGCACGCCUGUAAUCCCAGCUACUCGGGAGGCUGAGGCAGGAGAAUAGCUUGAACCCGGGAGGCAGAGGUUGCAGUGAGCCGAGAUCAUGCCAUUGCACUCCAGCCUGGGCGACAGAGCAAGAUUCUGUCUCAA
rnacentral:SRP_RNA from 1 species